rnacentral:rRNA from 1 species
UACGAAGGGGGCUAGCGUUGCUCGGAAUCACUGGGCGUAAAGCGCACGUAGGCGGAUUGUUAAGUCAGGGGUGAAAUCCUGGAGCUCAACUCCAGAACUGCCUUUGAUACUGGCGAUCUCGAGUCCGGGAGAGGUGAGUGGAACUGCGAGUGUAGAGGUGAAAAUUCGUAGAUAUUCGCAAGAACACCAGUGGCGAAGGCGGACUCACUGGCC